GAAAAAAAAGACAGAAGAAAAAAAAACUAAGGAAACCCAAUAAGCAGCGAUCGAAGCUUUAACUCAGAAAGAGCGAAAAGCUCAGACAUUCAAAUCCGACGGCAAUACGAGAAAGCCACACAAGAAGAAUCCAAGAUUUUUGGGUUCAUACAAUCGAAGACACAGACACGAACUAAAGAACCGAAGAAGAUUCAUUUUAGUUUCGUCAAGUUGGCUAGAGCCUCGUUGCGCUGUUUCUUCUUCGAGAGGGUGACCUCAAAGCUAGGGUUUUUGAAAUUUGAGGGCUUUUGUGUGAGUUGGUCUGUGGAUAUGAUCUUUAGGGUUUUGGUUCUGAGGAAGAUGAGAUUUGGGUUUGCAUUGUAUGGAUUUGGGAAUUGCUAGUUCUUCAGAUACAUAAAUCAAUUUGCAUUUGAAGGAGUUUGUGUGAAGGGAUAUAGAAGUUGAGAGAGUGCGUCUGUGCACUCUCCCACUGUUCAUCUAGAUUUGUUGAAGAAGAAGAAGAAGAAAAGAAAAAAAAGUAAACUUUUUGGUGAGAGUAAGUAAUGAUGCAACGCUCUCAAGAGGAGAGGGUUGAUUUGGGUGAAUUGAAAGGGCAUAUAGUGAAGAAGAUUGGUGUUGAAAGAUCAAGAAGGUAUUUUUAUUAUCUAAGCAGGUUUCUAAGUCAGAAGUUGACUAAGAGUGAGUUUGAUAAGACAUGUUUGAGGUUGUUAGGGAGGGAGAAUCUCUCUCUACAUAACCAGUUGAUCCGUUCUGUUUUGAGAAAUGCAACUGUUGCCAAGUCUCCACCACCAGAUCAUGAAGCUGGUCAUUCGACUAAACCUUUGGCUAAUGCUGUUCAGAGUAGAGGAGAUGGUCCUGAACAAAGUGGAUCUUUGAUUCCUAACCAUAACCAGAAUGAAGCUGUAUGGUCCAACGGGGUUUUGCCCAUCUCUCCGCGGAAAGUUAGGUCUGGAAUGCGUGACAGGAAGAGCAGAGAUAGGCCUAGUCCACUAGGGUCAAAUGGGAAGGUUGAACAUAUGCUGCAUCAGCCAGUUUGUAGAGAAGACAAUAGAGGUAGUGUUGUUGGUAUGGAAAAUGGGGAUUUGGGUCAAUUUGAGUGUCAAAGAUCAGGGAGAUAUGGUGCUGAUGAAAGAGAUGGUGAGUUUCUUCGUCCUGUGGAAAAACCGAGAAUGCCAAAUAAGGAAAAGGUUGCAACUGCAUCUAUGAGAGAUGAUGGAAAUCAAGAAGAGCAGGCUAGGCUAAAUCUAUCAAUGAGUCCUUUGAUUGCACCUCUAGGGAUUCCUUUUUGUUCAGCUAGUGUUGGUGGGUCUCGUAGAACGGUUCCUGUUUCUACCAGCGCUGAGAUAAGUAGUUGCUAUGCCAGUGGUGGAUUACCCGCUGUAGAGAUGCUGAAGAAAAGGAUGGAGAAUAUUGCAGUAGCACAGGGUCUUGAAGGGGUUUCAUUGGAGUGUGCUAAUACGUUGACUAACAUGUUGGAUGUGUAUCUGAAGAAGCUGGUCAAAUCAUGCGUUGAUUUGGUUGGAGCGCGGUCCAGAAAUGGAGAUCCUGGCAAACAAACUAUAGACAAGCAGCAGAGUCAAAACAAGAUUGUAAAUGGUGUGUGGCCAAGUAACAGUAUGCAAAUACAAACUCCCAAUGGGCCUUCUGACAUAACACAAGAUCGUCGUUCUGUGUCUCUGCUUGAUUUUAGAACUGCCAUGGAGUUAAAUCCACAACAGCUUGGCGAAAACUGGCCAAUUCUACAGGAGAGAAUUUCUAUGCGGUCUUUUGAGGAACAAGACUUUGAGGUGUGAAAGAAAAUAUUUGGCAUGCAUAUUGAUGUUACAUGUUGUUCUGAUUCAGCCUGCUCUUGUCCAGAAAGGGACAGCUAAUUUUGAAUGCAAAAAGAUUUACUGUGUAGUUCCAUAAUGAAGCGGAAAGAGUUGUAUUUAUGAGUUCUGAGCUGAAAAGCACAGCGUUACGACUGCAGCAACAGACUCAGAGCAGGUUGGUAGAUUAUUAAAAUGGAACUAAUCUCAAAGAACCGUAUAAAGAUACGUGUUGUUGGUUGCCAUGUUGUAAGAUUAUCACUAAUUGGCAAUCUCAAAGAGUUUCGAGUUUUGUGUGUAAACGCGAGGCGAAUAAGGGAAUUGGGGAGAGGGCAGAGAUUUUGUGCUUUCAAUUCGGUGCAAGCUUCUCGUCCGAUCCAGAAUGAAAUAAUCUGGUCAAUUGUCGAAAACCGGUUGAGAUCUUUUGCAUUUCGUGUUGAUGGUGCUCACUUGGGUCAAAAUAUUGGAUCUGUGAUUUUUCUUCUAGUUGGAAAACAUUAAUGGGAUACAUAUGCUUGUGCUGUGUUACAUAUACCAUGAGCUUUAUGGCGACGAUGGUAGUUAGAACAUGUUUGUCCUGUAACUGUAAGUCAAUGCUAAAAGAUAUCAACGCAGAAGAACUUAGCGAAUGAGC